AGAGAAUCGCUUGAACCCAGGAGAUGGAGGUUGCAGUGAGCCAAGAUCGCGCCACUGCACUGCAACCUGGGCGACAGAC
rnacentral:snRNA from 1 species